GCGCGAGCUCAUGCAACAGGACGUGCAGAAGUUCCUACAAUCGUCAAUGAUUCUCAGCCUUAGCGUCAUUCAGUGGAACUGCCGUAGCGUGUUAUCGUCUCUAGUUGAUUUGCACCUCGUCAUUCAGGUCGUCAUUCCAUUCCCUCGCUCAUCUUUUAAUCAGUCAUUUCACUCAUCUCAUCCUCUCAUCGCUUCACGUAACCAUCGUCACCAUCAACCAUCAACUGGGCCCUCAUGUCACGAUCCGUGGCCAAUUGCCCCGUGCUAUGCGCCACUGCGGAGAAAGACGAAGAAGAAGAAGAAGAAGUUCCUACAGUCCAGUCGUGCAUGGACCUCACCGGAUGUGGUUCCUUGGGCUCACAUAAUCCCGCUUCACGUUGCACCUUCUGGAAGGCUACAUCAACCGCGGGGGUCUACAGCUGAACAGCGGCGGCGGACACUGUCGAGCCCUCAUAGAUGAACAGGUGGAGCUGUGUACCAUAUCAUUGAGAAAAUAAAGUAGCUUUUCUGUUCGGUCUGGACAUUCCUCAUUGGCCCGUAACGCGUGCGUUUUGCGAAGGUCAGGCACUCGGGUCACCUCGCGCCGUGUUAUUCUUUCACCGCUGUGGUUUUGAGAUCACGUUAUCAGUGCUGUUUUCAGGGACUAUCGCAAGACGGAAUGUUUUAGCGUAACGGAAUUCAAGUGAAGCGAUUGUGUCGUGGCUACUAAUUUUGCUAUUCUUAGGAGAAGGCCUAACUCUGACCACGACGGAGGCAACCACUCAGGAAGUUUUCCUUGAUACUACGACUGCGAUUACUACGACCUUGGUGCCAACUAAGACUACCCACACCACGGCUACUACGACCACAGCGCCAAUUGAGACUACUACUACGACUACCACCACCACGACUACCACCACUACGACGACAACGACAACCACGACUACUACUACCACCACCUUGAAACCACCUUUGCCUCAUAAGUUUCUUGCCUGCGUCAGUUCAGUCGUUCAGGCAAUAUUUCACCCACUCGAUGAUGUCUGUUACUUCAUGUUCUUCACCGUCCAAGACAUCAAUCAACUAAAAAACAAGAAUCUCGGUCUUGCGAGAAGCAAAGUUGGUAUCGACAUACCGAGCUCAAAAGCCAACGCUAAUCAGGGCAAACUUGAAAAUUCCAUCGCAGCGUACUGGCCAAAGAUCAGAGACUUCGCUGUCCUGGACAUGGAAGUCCGUC